ACAUUUCAGCGUGGGAUUCUGAGAUCUCAAUGAGACAGCUUGGACCAGGUUCCAAAAAUGACUAACAAGUGCCAAGCAAAUGUGGU